rnacentral:pre_miRNA from 1 species
CACAUACUCCCUCCGUUCUGAAUUACUUGUCUUAGAUUUGUCUAGAUACAGAAGUAUCUAGCACUAAAAUGAGUCUAGAUACAUCCGUAUCUAGACAAAUCCAAGACAAGUAAUUCAGAACGGAGGGAGUACAUG